GAUGAACGCUGGCGGCGUGCUUAACACAUGCAAGUCGAACGGAAAGGCCAGUGCUUGCACUGGUGCUCGAGUGGCGAACGGGUGAGUAACACGUGGGUGAUCUGCCCUGCACUUUGGGAUAAGCCUGGGAAACUGGGUCUAAUACCAGAUAGGACCAUGCUUUGGAUGGUGUGGUGGAAAGUUUUUUCGGUGUGGGAUGAGCUUGCGGCCUAUCAGCUUGUUGGUGGGGUAAUGGCCUACCAAGGCGUCGACGGGUAGCCGGCCUGAGAGGGUGUACGGCCACAUUGGGACUGAGAUACGGCCCAGACGCCUACGGGAGGCAGCAGUGGGGAAUAUUGCACAAUGGGCGCAAGCCUGAUGCAGCGACGCCGCGUGGGGGAUGACGGCCUUCGGGUUGUAAACUCCUUUCGAAACUGACGAAGCUUUUUGUGACGGUAGGUUGAGAAGAAGCACCGGCUAACUACGUG
rnacentral:rRNA from 1 species